rnacentral:rRNA from 1 species
AUGAUUCCAGGACCUGGAAUCAUACCAGCCGAUGGAUUUGGAGUACCACUUACCUGUCGAAAUCUUUCAUCAUUCACUUAUCCGGCUGGCGUCAAGUUUGAUCCCACGGAUCAGGAGCUGAUCGAGCACCUUGAGGCCAAAGUGAGUGCUGACAGCGCGAGAUCUCACCCUCUCAUCGAAUUGUUCAUACCAACCAUCGACAGCGAGCACGGCAUAUGCUACACUCAUCCUGAGAAACUUCCAGGUAUCACACUGAGUGGCCUAAGCAAGCAUUUCUUCCAGCGCAAUUCCAGGGCGUUUAAAAGGGGCACGUGGACGUGUCGCAAGAUAGAGUCGGAGUGCGGCAUGCACGCGAUGUGGCACAACACCGGCAAUACCUUGCCGGUGAUGGUCAACGGCCGGCAGACGGGCAGCAAAAAGGUUCUGGUGCUGCACACCAACCAGAACUUCGACCAGCAGAGGACCAACUGGGUGAUGCACCAGUACCACCUCGGGGACCUGGAGCAAGAGAAGGAGCGGGAGCUGGUCCUCUGCAAGAUUUUCUACCAGACGAACACUAGGUCGAGCAAGUUUCAACUGGGCUGUAGACUGCCCAGGCUUGGUUUUGUUUUUAACAGGCCCAGCCCAUGA